UGUUUCUUUUUAGGAGUCUCAAACAAAAACACCACGCAGUAGAGUAGCCAAUUUCACCGCCGAUGAAAAAGCUUUAUUGGCAAAAUUGGUUAAAAAAAGACCAAUUGUGGAAUCAAAAAUAACCGAUGGCAAGUCGGUCGCCAAGAAGAAAGCGGCAUGGGAGUUAAUUACGCAGGAGUUUAAUUGUAAUGCGAAUGUACACAAGCGUGAAACUAUCACUUUAAAAAGGGCGUGGGACAAUAUGAAAGCCGUUACACGUAAAGCUCGUGCUACAGAAAGGGGAAAUUUGAUAAGGACUGGAGGUGGACCACAUGCACCUCCGCCAACUCAACAUGGAGCCAUAAUAAGCAUGGUUUAAGAGGCUGCACCUGUGGUUAUAACUGAAAUCAGUAAUUCUUUUGAUAGUGACGGUGCCAUUUUACUGACUAUUGAUAGCAAUCAAAACCUUGGCUUGAAUGAUGAACCAAUUAUAACUGAAUCAAAUAAUAACUUGGAUAUUUUGGAGGAGUACAAAAUGGACUCCACAACACAAGUCAUGGAGACUCAUCAAAUAAACAGCCCUCAAAUUGAACAUGAAAGAAAUAGCAUAGAUUUAAGUGAUAAGAAUAAUGAUGCAGUAAAUAAAACCACAUCAGAAGUGCGUAGGCCUAUGGAAUACAUUCGGAGAGAGGCUGUAAUGAGGCUACGAAAUUUAUAAAAUAAGAAAAAGAUUGAAAUUCAAAUAUUAAAAACACAGUUGGAAGCUGAACAAAUAAAAAAAAGGGCAGCGUUGAUGCAAGAAGAGACAAACAAAUGUUUGUUUGAAAAAGCUAAAAGGGCAGCAUUGUUUGAGGAAGAAAUAAACAAAUGUUUAUUAGA